AUGUUUUUGAGGUACUUAACUUCAUUCCUUUUGUUCUUCCUUCUGUCUCUUUCUACAGUGCUCUCUGGAUCGAAUGCCAGGUAUAGUGCUGCAAACUUACUUAAAAUGCCAUCUCUCCAAUGUGUCUCCUUAGAAGUAGCUCCUACAGAGUUCAAUCAGAUUUGCUCACAGAGGAACCUGUUUGAAUUAGGAAACAGGAACUUGUUAAAAGAGCUUGUGUCCACUGCUCUGGGCCAUCCAUUUCUAAUGUGUGUUGGUGACUUGUGCUGCAAUCCGCUCCUGUCCAGCCCGCGGACAGUUUUGAACAUCAAAACCAUUUACUGUAUAGCUUUUUGUCUAAGGUUGAUCAGUUGCUUCUCUUUAACAUACCGCAAAAAACCUCUUUAGUAUUUGUGAAGAUUAACAAAUUUAAAAUAAAA
rnacentral:lncRNA from 1 species